rnacentral:rRNA from 1 species
GAUGAACGCUGGCGGCGUGCCUAAUACAUGCAAGUCGAGCGAACAGAUGAGGAGCUUGCUCCUCUGACGUUAGCGGCGGACGGGUGAGUAACACGUGGAUAACCUACCUAUAAGACUGGGAUAACUUCGGGAAACCGGAGCUAAUACCGGAUAAUAUAUUGAACCUCAUGGUUCAAUAGUGAAAGACGGUUUUGCUGUCACUUAUAGAUGGAUCCGCGCCGCAUUAGCUAGUUGGUAAGGUAACGGCUUACCAAGGCAACGAUGCGUAGCCGACCUGAGAGGGUGAUCGGACACACUGGAACUGAGACACGGUCCAGACUCCGACGGGAGGCAGCAGUAGGGAAUCUUCCGCGAUGGGCGAAAGCCUGACGGAGCAACGCCGCGUGAGUGAUGAAGGUCUUCGGAUCGUAAAACUCUGUUAUUAGGGAAGAACAAAUGUGUAAGUAACUAUGCACGUCUUGACGGUACCUAAUCAGAAAGCCACGGCUAACUACGUG